rnacentral:rRNA from 1 species
GAACGCUGGCGGCGUGCCUAAUACAUGCAAGUCGAACGCUUCUUUUUCCACCGGAGCUUGCUCCACCGGAAAAAGAGGAGUGGCGAACGGGUGAGUAACACGUGGGUAACCUGCCCAUCAGAAGGGGAUAACACUUGGAAACAGGUGCUAAUACCGUAUAACAAUCGAAACCGCAUGGUUUUGAUUUGAAAGGCGCUUUCGGGUGUCGCUGAUGGAUGGACCCGCGGUGCAUUAGCUAGUUGGUGAGGUAACGGCUCACCAAGGCCACGAUGCAUAGCCGACCUGAGAGGGUGAUCGGCCACAUUGGGACUGAGACACGGCCCAAACUCCUACGGGAGGCAGCAGUAGGGAAUCUUCGGCAAUGGACGAAAGUCUGACCGAGCAACGCCGCGUGAGUGAAGAAGGUUUUCGGAUCGUAAAACUCUGUUGUUAGAGAAGAACAAGGAUGAGAGUAACUGUUCAUCCCUUGACGGUAUCUAACCAGAAAGCCACGGCUAACUACGUGCCAGCAGCCGCGGUAAUACGUAGGUGGCAAGCGUUGUCCGGAUUUAUUGGGCGUAAAGCGAGCGCAGGCGGUUUCUUAAGUCUGAUGUGAAAGCCCCCGGCUCAACCGGGGAGGGUCAUUGGAAACUGGGAGACUUGAGUGCAGAAGAGGAGAGUGGAAUUCCAUGUGUAGCGGUGAAAUGCGUAGAUAUAUGGAGGAACACCAGUGGCGAAGGCGGCUCUCUGGUCUGUAACUGACGCUGAGGCUCGAAAGCGUGGGGAGCAAACAGGAUUAGAUACCCUGGUAGUCCACGCCGUAAACGAUGAGUGCUAAGUGUUGGAGGGUUUCCGCCCUUCAGUGCUGCAGCUAACGCAUUAAGCACUCCGCCUGGGGAGUACGACCGCAAGGUUGAAACUCAAAGGAAUUGACGGGGGCCCGCACAAGCGGUGGAGCAUGUGGUUUAAUUCGAAGCAACGCGAAGAACCUUACCAGGUCUUGACAUCCUUUGACCACUCUAGAGAUAGAGCUUCCCCUUCGGGGGCAAAGUGACAGGUGGUGCAUGGUUGUCGUCAGCUCGUGUCGUGAGAUGUUGGGUUAAGUCCCGCAACGAGCGCAACCCUUAUUGUUAGUUGCCAUCAUUCAGUUGGGCACUCUAGCAAGACUGCCGGUGACAAACCGGAGGAAGGUGGGGAUGACGUCAAAUCAUCAUGCCCCUUAUGACCUGGGCUACACACGUGCU